GCAGCAGGCGCGAAAACUUUACAAUGCGGGAAACCGUGAUAAGGGAACAUCGAGUGGUACUCAUAUUGGGUGCCUGUCCACCCGCCUAAAAAGCGGGUGUUAGCAAGGGCCGGGCAAGACCGGUGCCAGCCGCCGCGGUAAUACCGGCGGCUCGAGUGGUGGCCGAUAUUAUUGAGUCUAAAGGGUCCGUAGCCGGCUUUGCAAGUCUCUCGGGAAAUCCAGCGGCUUAACCGUUGGUCGUCCGGGGGGUACUACAUUGCUUGGGACUGGGAGAGGCGAGAGGUACUCAGGGGGUAGGAGUGAAAUCCUGUAAUCCA
rnacentral:rRNA from 1 species